UCGUGUGGUGGCGCAAGAUCUUCGUUUGACGACGUCAGCUGCUGUGUGUUUUGUUUUGGUUUUCCACGCUGCAGUUUUUAGUUUCGUUUGCAUCUCCUUUGCGCGGCGCGGCGAAAGACUUGGCGGGAUUUGUGAGGUCGGUCGAUUUCUGUUUGUAGUAGAUCGCGUUUCGUUGAGUCCUGGACUGACCAAGGAAGGGUGGCUGGGAACGGCACAACCCGCCUCGGUAGAUUGCCCUGGUCGAUCGAGUGCAGCAAGACGAAAGAGCGAAAGAAUCAGAAUAGGAGUGAUAAAUGAAGUUUGUUUACGGUGGUGUGUUGCUUUUUGUCCCUUCGGGAUCCGACUUGCUUGUUGAUUGUUGGGAUCUACGCGAUUUCGAAGUAGCUCCGGUGGAACGGGAAAGCACGAUGAUGCUCAUGUUCAAAUUAGUCAGUGGAGUUUGAUUUAGCGAAUGAUGUCGGUGAAAUUUAUGGUUAUUUGUGCGCUGGUGAUAUUUAUUGAAGUUGUGUUCUAAAAGUGUUGCUCAUUUGUGUUGAAUGCCAGAUCGGGAACGAUCGGGAGCAGUUUUGUGCUGAGUAGACGCUGCCGGCGAGGUCUCAGAUAAGAGCUGCAACGAUUGAAUGAGCACAAAAAGUGUUCACAUGCUGGGAUAAUUGAGAAGUGCUGAGUUCUUUGAGGGAGCAAUUUAUGCAUGAUAGACGAUAUAACGUUCAGGAUGCAUGAUUUGUGGUGGUUUCAUUAAUACAGUGUAGUUCCUUCGAUUGGAUAUAAUUGGCGUUUGUUGGAGUUGACUAGUUUCUUCUUGUGGCAUCAACAGUACAAAUGGAGAAAUGUGGAAUAAAGGUCCCGCACCCAGGAAAUGAUUCCAAUCGCAUGGGCAACAGCAGCGGUCCUCCAUCAUCGUCGCCUUCAGUUCGGGG